rnacentral:snRNA from 17 species
GGUGUGUGUACUUAGGGACAUAACGAAGCAAUCGUUCCCCUUUUACUAAAGAUUGCCGUGUAGUAAGUAUGUUAAAUACAAUAUACCACGAAUUUUUGUCGCGCCUAUUAAGUUAGGUGCU